GGCAGGAGGCCAAGCAAAGGGCAGCAGUGAGUGGUUUUGAGGCUGUGAUGUGAGACAUCUUUUCACAAAAAGCUUGCAAUCCAAAGCCAGGCCAGUCCUUCAGCUGAGUCAUAAAGAGCUACGUAGAAUGGAGGCUUGGGACACAGCAGGAAGCAGGAGGAGGAACAGCAACUGGGUAGAAAAGCCAUGAACUUUCUUGAAGAGACAAUUCAGAAGAAUCCUCUGCAGUGUGUAAGAAAGGUGGCUACAUACUGAAGACCUACACGAUCGUCUGGCAACCUCAUUGACAGCUUCAUUAAACAUUUCAUUCUACAUCACUGACAUGCAACUGAUUUCCUCUGAGGUUGCAGAAAAACCAUUAGGCUUUCAUCAAAAUGAA